rnacentral:rRNA from 1 species
GUCCAUGGUCGUGCCACCCUGAACACGCUUGACCUCGUCUGAUCUCAAAAGCUAAGCAAGGUUGGACCUGGUUAGUACUUGGAUAGGAGACCGCCUAGGAAUACCGGAUGCUGUAGGUU